CUGAGUAGAAGUGGAGAGAGGACAGACAUGGGACGGUAAGUCCAGAAAAGCAUCCCCAAGAAGGUAUCACCUGGUCCAGUCUUGAGGAGUAGUAAUACCUUCAGAGGGGGCUGAGGGAAGGAGGGCACCACGUGCAGAGAGAUGUGGGGGCAGUGGGGUCCCCAUGGCAACUAAACAUCAGUUCUGGGUUGGGGAAGCCUAAGCCCAAGUAGAGACGACCGAGAAUACAUCUGAGAAGCAGGUGGAAGCCAGUGCCUGGUGGCUCAGGUACCCUGCCAUGGGCUUGGACUUGAUCCCAUGUGAGUUUGAGCAGGGAGUAGCAUAUUUAGAUUUGUGUUUUAAGCCUGAGCACAUCAAGAGCUCAAGGUGGAGGGAAGAACAGUAGAGGGGAGAACACAAAGUGACCAGCAAGCAGGACAAGGGGCCACGGCGGUGGGGAUGCAGAGAGAGCAAGGACACCAGGAAUACUUAAAAAGGACACGGCAUGAUGUGACUGGGGGACUACAUGAAGAGGAGGAAAGGGUGCUGGCCCAUGAGGGUGCCUCAGAAGGAGAAGGGGUUUGGAGGAGGACGAGUCUGACAUGCAGUUAUAAGUCCGUAACGUGUAAUUGUAAGUCCUGAGCAUGGAGGCAGCAGCCCAAGGAGAGGGAGAAGAUCAGGGCAGAGGCCCAGUCCAGAGUCAGGGAAGGCACAAGCAUCCGGGGAUGAGUAAUCAAUGAAGGGACCUCCAGGAAGCAGAGGAGCAGAGGUCAGAGCCCACCCUGGUGGAGGGAGGAUGUGGUGAGGCUUGGCCACAGGAGGGCAGUAGAGUGCCCACAGAAGGCAGGCCAGAGAGGCAGAGGGUGAGGAGGGAAAAGGGACCGCCAGGAAGCAGAAUAGCACAUGUGGACCACCCUUUGGGAGGUGUGAGUGAAAUGGGGAAGAGAAAAAGGUGUAAAGUAGAAUGAGGGGAGAACUGUUUUUUAAACGGGAGAAGCCUGAACGAGGACCAGCUGGGGCAGAGGUGGGGGACGGGAGAAAAAAGUGCUGCCUGCAGGGCCCGGCCCCCAGGAGGGCAGAGGGCAUGUGUGCCGGCCCGGGAUCCUUUGGGGAGAAGAGAAAAACUCACCUCCCGGGAUUUCUAGAGGGGUGAAAAAGUUAUGACUGGUGAUCCCCCGAAGAACCACUAAGCCUUUGGAAAAAUGAAAAUGUGAGUCAGAACACACCCUUUCUGGUGAAAGCCUCAUCUGCCAGAAGCAAGCCUCUCCCUGUCAGCCACUCACCAUCUCCAAGACAGCUCAGGGCUCAGAACCAUCCGGACAACUGAUGAACCCCAUCUUCAAGCAAAGGUGUGGAAGCAGUGUGGAUAAUGGAGGAUAACGGCAAAAAUACAACCAUUUUGACUGCUCUUUGUCUUUGGGUCUCCUGAAGUUUCCAAGUCAUUGUGAUGAAAAUUAUUAAAGGUCUGCCCAAGAACGGAGACGUUCCCUGAUUUGUCAGAUCCUAAGACAAGGAUGCAGAUGACUUCAUUAGGUCAGAAUGUGGAAGUCCCUGAAUUCCAUGUUAUUCAAGAUGGUGGCAGGAUGGAGAGGCCAGCAUGUUAAGGAAAGCCUAGAAGCAGAGAGGUCAGAUAGAUGUGUUUGGGGAGUAGUGGGCAUGGCUAUGGCUACAGCAUGUGUGGGUUGGCAGGGAAAGUAGAAGAGGUGAGUCUAUAGAAGGAGGCUGGACCCAGGGUGUAAAUCACAGGCUGAGGGUCUGUUCUCUGUCCCAUCGGUUGAGGGGGGGUUUGAGCAGAAGGCAUAGACCCUCUGAAUAAUACCUCAUAGCCUCCUUCUCUCCUGCUUCCCCUCCGCUUUCCAGAUACAUCCAAAUGCCUUCCUGUGGCAUCCUCCUCUCAGCCAAAACAAGUAGUGUAGAUGAGAGGAUGGGUCGACAGAGUCCAGGGCUGAGGGGAACAUGAAGACUGAGGAGAGCAUCUCAUCUUUCUGCCCAUGCUGCUGGCAGGGAGCAGCUGUGCAGGCCCAAGACAC
ensembl:lncRNA